ACAUUUGCACAGGCUGUUGGAGUGUUUUGCUGUGGUAUAUUUUGUCAUUAUGAGAUGUCGUCUACCAGUGCUUCAUUUGUGCAAAUUAGAUUUGAUGACUUGCAGUUUUUUGAGAACUGCGGUGGAGGCAGUUUCGGAAGUGUCUACCGAGCACGAUGGAUUUCUCAAGACAAGGAGGUGGCUGUAAAGAAGCUGCUGAAAAUAGAAAAAGAGGCAGAAAUACUCAGUGUGCUCAGUCACAAAAACAUAAUUCAGUUCUACGGAGCUGUCAUUGAACCUCCAAAUUAUGGCAUAGUUACAGAGUAUGCUUCUGCUGGCUCACUGUUUGAUUACAUUAAUAGUAACAAAAGUGAAGAGAUGGAUAUGGAUCAUAUAAUGACAUGGGCAACUGACAUAGCUAAAGGAAUGCACUAUUUACACAUGGAAGCUCCAGUCAAAGUAAUCCACAGGGAUCUGAAGUCCAGGAAUGUUGUUAUAGCUGCUGAUGGUGUGUUAAAGAUCUGUGAUUUUGGUGCCUCAAGGUUCCACUCCCAUACAACACACAUGUCAUUAGUGGGCACUUUUCCAUGGAUGGCCCCAGAAGUUAUCCAAAGUCUCCCAGUGUCUGAAACAUGUGACACAUACUCGUAUGGAGUGGUUCUCUGGGAGAUGCUAACAAGGGAGGUCCCUUUUAAAGGCUUGGAAGGAUUACAAGUAGCUUGGCUUGUAGUGGAAAAAAACGAGAGAUUAACCAUUCCAAGCAGCUGUCCCAGAAGUUUUGCAGAACUGAUGCACCAAUGUUGGGAUGCUGAUUCAAAGAGAAGGCCAUCUUUCAAGCAGAUCAUUUCAAUCCUGGAAUCUAUGUCGAAUGACAGCAACCUUCCAGACCAGUGUAACUCAUUCCUGCAUAACAAGGCAGAGUGGAGAUGUGAAAUUGAGGCAACUUUAGAGAGACUAAAGAAACUGGAGCGUGAUCUGAGCUUUAAAGAGCAGGAACUAAAGGAACGGGAGCGACGUUUGAAGAUGUGGGAGCAGAAGUUAACCGAACAGUCCAAUACUCCUUUGCUGCCCUCCUUUGAUAUUUGUUCAUGGACCGAAGAAGAUGUGUUUUUCUGGAUGCAACAACUUACUAGAAAAGGCGAUGCUUCUGGUGAAAUGAGUGCAUAUGCUAGCUUGUUUAUGGAACAUCAUAUCACUGGGAAACAAUUGCUUCUUCUAGAGGAAGAGGAUUUAAAGGACAUGGGAAUUGUUUCCAGAGGACACAUUAUCCAUUUAAAGACUGCUAUUGAGAAGUUAACCCAUGACUACCUAAAUCUUUUUCAUUUUCCACCGUUGAUUAAGGAUUCUGCAGGUGGAGCUGAAGAAAACAUAGAGAAAGUUGUGAAUCUUGAACUCGUUUUUGGUUAUCACUUGAAGCCAGGAAAUGGUCCGAAGGAUUGUAAAUGGAAAAUGUACAUGGAGAUGGACGGGGAUGAAAUUGCAAUAACCUACAUAAAAGAUGUGACAUUCAACACUAACCUACCUGAUGUAGAGGUUUUAAAGAUGACAAAGCCACCGUUUGUAAUGGAGAAAUGGAUUGUGGGGAUAGAAGAACACCAGUCUGUAGAAUGUGUUGUUACCUAUGAGAGUGAUGUUAGAGCUCCCAAAGCCACCAGGCACAUCCAAGCGAUCUGCUGGAGCAAGGUGAAGGCACAGGACGAGGUUGAGACAGUACAGCUCAUGAUACAGACCUCGCUCCCCAGCUCGGAGGGGAAUUCACGGAGCAGAUCUGACUCAAGCAUCGACAGCCAGUGGAUGCAGACGCUGCGGAUGCAUCAAAUAGCGAAAGCCAUUUCUCUCCAGCACGGCCACCCCCACAGCCCGACCACUGUCACGCACUACCUGCCCUACCUCCGCAGCCAGGACUCCUACGCUGCUGCUGUCAGGAGGACGCGCGGUCCCGUCAGUUACCACUUCACUUCCAUCAACCACUCCAGGAACUCCUCUGCUUUUUCACACAGUUUGGUGAGAAACCUCUCGAAUUUGCAGCUGAACUCGAAAGGCAGCAGCACCUCCAGCACAGCCUCUGACACCCCUUCGGAGAGAGACAGGUCUGCUGGCAAAGGCAGGAACGCCUCUCACAGCGCUCACUCCCGCAGCUCCUCGGACGGGCGGCGCAGCGGGACCAGCUCCCCGGUGCCCCGCUGGCACUCGGGAAGAGCCGGCAGGACUUCCUCGCCAUCGGCCCCCCCGGCCUCCCAGCACCACAGGUACCUGCAUUUCCCUUUUCCACAGUUUAAAAUGCUGUGAAUCAUAAGAAGCCAGUUCCGGGAUGGCUGCUAGAAUGGAUGAUGAAAAAUAGUGAUGAACUCAUGAAGGCAAAUUCAGAACUAAACGUGCAAAAGCCUUUGCAAAUUCACAGGAUGAUUGUCCCAGGGGUGACAGCGCACUGAACAAUCCAAGGAGCCCCAAAAUCAUAAACAACCCCCAGCUGUUCCUCACACCAACCCCUUGUGAAAAGAGAAGACCAUCAAUCCAUCCCAGGACAGCAGAGCUGCAGAGGUUGCUUUCUAUGGCCUGGGCAGGAAUUUCACCCAGCUCAGUGUUUGGUUUGGGCAGUACUGUAAUCUCUUUCUCUUGCAACAUUUCUAAUUGUUGGUUUGGCCUCGUGUUGAUCUUCAAAGCACAUAAUGAAAUGCUAUGCCUGCACUGCACUCAUUGGGAAUCUAAACAGAAAUAACGGUCAGAGAGGGGAGAGGGGAGAUGGGUUGGCCGUUCAGCCCCAUUUCUCUGGGGAACGCAGCUGACAGGGUUACAGCCUAUCCGACUGCCGCCACAGUGUGCUGUACCUCUGUGCUGGGGGGGAUCCACUCGUACUGACCAGCUGGGAUGGGAUGUACUGGGAUGGGAUGACCAUGGGAGCUGGUCGUCCUGUGCUGAUGCUGCUGAGACCUGCCUGCAGCAGGGGGGAUGCCACUGCCCCCUCUGCCUUCCCACCUACACCACCAUCUCUCUGACGCCAUGCCAGCAACAGUGGUUUUCAGGGCUGGGGUUCACAUGUGUAAUUGUUGCUGGUUGAUUAUUUCCAUGAAAUGCCAGAGAAAGCAAACCUGGUUCUUGUUCAGCUGGGAGGGGAGGGUGCCCGUUUGUGCCUGCCCCUAGUGCUGCCAUGCUGAGCUAAUGCCCCAUGAGAACCUGCUUGCUUGCUGGCACUGGUGUGAAACAGGGAUAGCUGGGUUUGAAUGUUUGUUUACUUUUUGUAUAAAAUAUUUGCUAUUGCAGUUUUGUUCUUUCUAACCUGCUCUCACUGAUCACUUUCUAGCAAUUGGCCAUGUCUGACAACACCACCCUCUCUGGGUACACACCAAAACCUCAUAUGCUGGCCAUGAUCUGACAACUUGCUGAGCUGAUUUAAGGAGCAGAAGUUGGCCAAACCCUCUGCAUUCCCUCUCCCUCCUCACCCAAGAGCAUAAGCCCCCAGCCAGGACACCCCUCACUACUGUCCUCCAGCUCAGCCGAUGCUGCAGAGGAUCAAAUCCCAAGUAUUUUAAGACUUUCUGUAAACUUGCUGCCAAGAAUACUGGACCAUGCAUCAAAGAUAAGCACUUGAUAUUUUUGAUUGUGCUAGAGAAUGCACUUUGACCCUAUUAUUAUUAUUAUUGUUAUUACUUUAGGCUGGGAAAGAUGGGCAGUUGCUUUUGUAAUUGUGGAAAAACCCCAAACCCAGAGACCUCCUGACAUCUCAUGUCACUAAAAUGGAACCAAAUAGCUGUGCUACCUCUGAAAAUUAGAUCUGACAGAAUUAUUUUCUGUGUAUUUGUCCACCACAGAAGGGUUUUUACAUAAUUUUCUUAUCUAAUGAACUGCCAAAGCUUAGCAGUUCAAGCCAGUUUGUUGCAAAAAGUUAGAGGUUAUGGAGGAGAAGUCUAUUACAGCAAUAAGACUAAUAAGGGUCUGCCAAGAUCAUGUUUGAGUACAUGUAAAUACAGGGCAUUUGAGAUGAACAUCUCAGAGGACAGAGGAAUGGUGCUGGGAGGCAGCAGCAGCCCAAGUGGCUGAGAGCUGGGGGUGAAGUGUGGGGCCUCUCUGCACCUCCCACCCCAGCACCACCUGUGCUCCCCCCCAGCCACAUCCCACCUACGCUCCCCCGAGCCGCCUGCUUGCCCCAAGGGUCAGUGCCUUCUCCUAGAAACUUUGUGAGGUGGUUUUGCAGGUGCGAGGGGACUACAUGCACAAACACUGUGCUAUGUAGAAUGAAGUGGCUUAAUGUAUCUGGGGCUCAACAUAUACAUUUCUUUUCCUGCUUAAAAAAGAAAGGUGAGGGCAUUUCCUUCAUGCCGUGAAAAAACACAAGGGUCCGAAACUGGGACCCCCUGGCAGGCAGUAGUGAGCCCUGGGGGGGCUUUCUACCUGCCUCCCCCCUUCCUGCCUCCUGAGGGAGCUUCCAGGAGAGACAUCCCUGGGGAGAAGGUUAAGCCACCACCACUCCCAUCCUCUCCCAGCAACCACAUCUCGCUGAAGGCUGGUGGAGGCAAUGCAAAUCAACAUUCACAAAGAGGCAGUGGCAAAGCUUAUAUAAAAGGGCAGAAAACCAGACUGCAGUAAGCAUUUUUUAUUAUUUUCUGAUAGCCUCCUGUUUCCCACAGCUAUGCAUUUGCAGACCAUUUUGUAAGCAAUUUCUUUAUGAUGUGAUUUAAUCUAUUUUGUGUUUUCAAAGGGAAAUAUAAAUCGAAGCCCAAAAGUGAAAGGGCUGGGAUCUUGAGCUUUUAAAAGUGGUUAUUGCAUAUCAACAACAGCUACUUUUGAUCAACAUUUUUUGCUAUGCAUUGGGUGGAACAGCUAUAGGAUACUCAAAUGAGCAUUAUAAUUACAAUCCCAUAAUGUGAAUCACAAUGCUCCAGGCUCCGAAUGAUCUGCUAUAACAUAUACUUGGAAUAAUCAUUAAGAUUUCUAGCCUAACUGACCACAUUUCAGCCGUUCUCUUAGUGUGCUGAUGAAUGUAGGUUCCUAGAGGCAUUUAUCAACUGCACUUUUUCUAUCCCUGGGCUUCGUUUAUUCCUGUAGUUUUUCUUAUCUUAUUCUUUCUAUUCUUAUGGUCUCACCAGUUUGUGCCAAAGAAACAUGGUAUUAAAUAGGAUCAGACAAGAUCACCUUCAGUUCAAGAUGCAGGAUGCAUUUUUCACCCAGCCUUUACUAAUCAGGAACUUACCGCAAAGCACAAGGAGAUACAAACCUGUUUAACUAAAAGGGGAAAAUACAUUUUUCCUUGGAGAGGGAAAAAAGGAAAAAUAUACUAAUUGCAUUGUGGAGGUAUUUUGUACAGCUGGUACAUUUGGUCUUGGCUAUAAACUGAAUACACAUGCUAAAUAUUGAAAUUUGCAUUUAUUUUACAGAUUCUGAUUCUACCUAUUAGAGCACAAUGUCAAAGUAUUUACAGUAAAAAAGUACUUCAUAAAAAUUAAUGUCUAGCAAACAUGUAGAGGUUUAACUAUAAUUAAAUCUCCAAAAGUGGCAAUCCUCCUGCUUCUGUAUAAGUGUCCUUUCUGGGUUGCAAUCAAAGUUACUUGAUUAUAGACCUUAUUAUGUCCUGUAUAGUACUGUUAGCCACUGGAGGGUGGCAUGUGAACAAAUACAUAUGCUUGAUCAGAUCUUUUCCCUUUCAGGAGAAAGAAAAACAAUUAGUGUAUGUUAUAGGUUACUGAUUUACAAUUUACGUCAUAAAUCAAUGUCUGAUUAUUUUAAUGCAAAAUGUUUUUAGCUUCAUUUUAUUGCACAAACUGUUUCAAUAACACACUGUAAUUUGCACAGACGAAGAGGCGAUUGAACAUCUCUUACAGAAAUUUUGAGUUACUGUCAUUAGUGUCUGCAAUCUUAUUAUUUUCUAUGGAACUAAGAUAUGUGUUAUUGCAUUGUGCUACAGGUACUCUGCGGUCAUAAGAAUCAAAACUCUCCCUUUCCACUGAAAUACUUUCAUCUAUAAAUCCGUAUCACUGUGCGAGUCCCAUCACAACAAUUACUAGCAUCACACACACAUUAACUAAUGCAUGCACGUUUUUUUAGGCAGGUAGAAAAAUAUUGCCCCAAUUAAAAAGAAAAUAAAAGGGGAAAAGGGGUGGAAACUAGAGCAUAAAGUGUUGUCCAUAGUUAAGAUAGGAAUUGUGUAGGAGAGUCAAGGAUGGGGCAGCAGGCAUCCUGCGUCCAGAGAGAAAAGCUGCAUUGCAGUGCCGACAGCCAAAGUCUGCAGGGUGACGUGCAGGACAGCACUCGUCCUUCAUACCAGAGGAACAAAGGUCACACUUACUGUUUCUAACAAUUGAGCUAUUGUUGGAGGUCCAUGUUGUUGCUACUGCUUGAAGCUUAUAAUAUGUAAACAACUUUGAUUCCCCUGGAUGGAUGCAGAAAGUGUUGCACACUCAAUCUACUGCACGUCCCUCUGUAAUUUAAGAUGAUUCCCUUAGCAGGUCUUCCAAGGGCCACUACUAUGUACUGACAACUGAUUUCAAGGAAAGAUGAGACUUUAAGAGACUAUUUUCUUGGAAACACCUGAUAAAAUAUCCCAGAUAAUCUUUGCUGACAUGUGAGCUCACCCUGUGGCAGGGCUGCAGGGGAGAUGCAGAGCCUGGUACCACUGGACAGGCCAUGCAGGACCUGGACUGAGGGACUGAACAGGCAGGGAUGUUUUCUUCCAUUAGCCUAAUUUGAGUUAAAUGUGGCUGAAAAUGCCAUGCUCUCCUGGGUUCAGUUUUGCAUGUCCUCAGCUAUCGCAAAUAGCUGGAUGUAGGACAGGGGUGCUGUCUGUGUCUUGACAGACAUUGAGAAACUUCUGUCACGGUAAAGCCAGUUAGUAAGUUUGUUCUGCCCGCCCACCAAGGGCAGUUGGGCUCUGCAGGGUAGAACAGGGGCUCAAAGGGCACAAACAUGAAACCAGGGGAAAUGAUGGGUACAGGUCACAACAGUCAUCUCCUGAGUUACAGACCUUCAUCUUCUGGUACCCUGCACUGCACCGCAGGAAGAGAAGCCCCUGCCCUUCACAUACUUCCCAUUUCUCUUCUCACCUUCCUGCCCCUUCUCUCUUGUCCUCUGUAAAAUAUGUGAGCUGGCAUACACAAUUUUCAAUAAAUUAAUUAUUUUUAACUUUUUUUUUUUUUUUUAAAAAGGCUGAAAAUACAGUUCACAAAAUGUCCUGUCUGGUUUUCCCACAAAGGCCCUGCUCCAGCCUAUUAAUUUUAAAGCCAUUUGACUACUUAUGUCGUUUGAAGAAUGCUGUUUCCAUUAAGCAUUAAAUGGAAAAUUAACUGCAGUUUGAAGUAUGGAUUCAGCUAUCCCCAUCAGUGCUCCAUAACAUUUCAUAUGAUGCUCUUAAAAGCUGUGAAAGUUGGCUACUUUUCUAGUAAAAUCCUGAUAAUAAUUAUUCAAGAUGUUAAGGGCUGCUACUGCUGAGAAACUGGAUCUCUUCUUCCAUGCAAGUAAACUAGUAUUUGUAGAUUUUAUUUCUGAAAUACGUAAAACUACAUCAAAAUUGAAGAAACAUCCCCCUUCCCAACAGAGCUGUCUUGGUUGGAAACCAUCUGGGUGGCAAUCCUUCACUAAUGCGGAUUUAGAUUAAAUGAGUGUGGUCUGGCCUUGGGAGAAUCGGGUUUAGUUCAUCAGCUUUUGUGCAUGCACUGAGAAGCCAGCGGUGCAGGUAAGUAUGUAAUUAUGGGCUUAUCUAAAAUGGAGAUUCUUUUACAUGGCAGACUGCAGCAUGCACAGGAAGAAUAACGCCCUCAGGAAGAAAACCUCCACGAGGGCUCUUGCAGUCCAUUGUGCUGUGGCGUACUUACAGGCUUUGGCUUGGAGAUGAUUUGUGGUUUGUGUUACACGGGCGCAGGUUUGCGAGGGGUCUGCAGGUGCACGCGGCUGCCUUCCCUCGUGCCCAUUGCAGCAGGGGUCACCUGCUGUCGGGAAGGCACAUGGAAAUGCUGAGCAGCUACAGUUGCACUGGUAUUGAGUCCUGCUCAAACCGCAGGAUAAAUGGAGGAUUAUAGCAAACACAAGGGCCUCAAAUCCCAUACGGCUUCUUCAGGGCCUCUCUUGUUACUAUUGCUGCCAAACACUGGUCACGCGGCAGUUAUUUUUCUGUAUUUAAUGGCUGUAUUUGAUUUAAUGUGAUAUUACAAAUGUUACAUAAACCGGUUUACAAUGA